UGUGUGUCUAUGUGUCUGUGUGUGUUUGUGUGUGUAUGCGUGUGUGAUAAGAUGUCAUUUAAAGAUGGAGAUGGAAACACGAUGUUCUUCCUUUGUUCUAUAUAUAUAUACUAUAUAUAUAUAUAUAUAUAUAUAUAUAUAUAUUAUUAUAUAUAUAUACAUAUAUAUAUAUAUAUAUAUAUAUAUAUAUAUAUAUAUAUAUAUAUAUAUAUAUAUAUACAUAUAUAUAAACCAAAUCCAAAGUAUAAUUUAUAAUAUAACAACACAAAUUUUAUUCGUGUCUAUGCAAUGCACGUAUGUAUGAACUCAUUGGUUAAUGAAUGCAAUGGAAUGAAAGAAUGUAAAAUUCAUAAUCACUGCAGUUUUUAGUUUAAGAGAUUUCAUAGACUGUCUUAUCAUGUUAUUUGAAAUGAAAAUUAUGACAGACAUCCUGUCGGAGUAAAUAAAUAAACAUACAAAAGUCAUAAGUGAGGUUACUUUACUGUCAGUAUUCAUUACUUGGCAGUUUUAAGGUAGCAUUUCAUAGUGAAAAUACAGAAACAGACAUUUUUUGGCCUUACCAAGCACUGCCAAUGCACAAGAGACUUAUUAUCUAUAGAAUAAUUCAUGAUAUUUAUGCCUCUUAAAUGUGUAGAUGAUCACAGGACUGAAGAGUUAGUAUAGUCUAAAAUGUUCUCAGGAGCAUUGUCCUAACAGACAUCUGUAGACAAGACAGAGGAUAGCGGCUUUGAAAUAACUGGAAUUAAUCUAAGACAGAGGACCUUGGUCGAGUACAUCAAGAGAUACUAUGGUUGGUGGUUGGUUGAGAAUAGGCUGACAUUAUACCAGCAUAGACUGCAAAUGGAGAGGCAUUCAGAAAUGAUAACAAAAUUCUUUGAAAGGGCAGAUAAGUUUAACAAAAACUUGGAAGCAGUAGCUAAAAUACAUAAAGCAUCUUCAGCGAGCAUCCAGAAUUCCUUAUGCAUAUGUUUUAUGGGGUAUAAUUAACAAAGAUAUUUCAAGUUAUGCUACUUGCCAAUUUUUCGUGUCAUCAAAUUCUAAUGGAUCUGAGGAACAAUGGGCUAUUUCUCAAACUUCAUUCUCAAGUAACAAAGAGUAUGGGAUGAAGUUGGACUAUGAAAAAUGGUUUUGGGAGGCCCCUAUUUAGUUAUAUUAAUUAGAGCUCCUAUGAUAAUCCAGCACAAAACUAAGCAAGAUUUAGAACAAACUGUCUUGGGAGCUUGCAAGAUAAUGGAAAAUAAUUAGUUAAUGCAAUUAUUUACAUUUGAAUGGACAGCACAAGAUUUGAUCUGACAUAGAUUAAAAAUAAAAAGGUAAAAGAAAGUUUCAUUGAUGGACACUACUUGGGAAGGGAGAGGAUAGGAAUUGUAUGAACAAAAAGAUUACUUAAAUGUGGGAUGAGGUGUCAGAGAAAAGAAAGGAAAUUAGGAGUCAGUAAUAAAGUCUCAUGACGAAUGCAAUAGUAAAAGCAAGGUUAAAAAUAUAAGCUUCGCUAGAGUUUCUAAAAAAUGUCUCAGAGGAAAAUUGGAUAGGAAAUAACUAAGUGAUCUUGUUUUUAGAAAUAAGCAUUGAAGGUUGGAGAGAAAUGUCAAAUGAACAGAAUAAAAGAAAAAGAUGUCGGUAACAGAGAGGUCGCUGUUCCGUGGAACAGAAUGUACAACAGCGGGCUUCCAAGACGAAAGAUAAAGAUUAGAUUUUAUAAUGUCACAGAAAAUAUUAUAAAAGUUUAAGUAGGACGAGUUUACCUCUAGAUUACUUGUGGAACGUUGGAUGGAUGACACCUGAUAAGUAGAAUCACUAAUCUUCCGAAAUUUGACAACUCUUCAGUCACUGUACUCUGAAAUCAUACAAGAAGAAACGUGGUUGGUAAGAAACUGAGUGACAUUUCAGAAUUAGUUGGUGGAAUUCAAGGGACCAAAAAAAUAAUCACUAAGUGUAUUAACAUACUUCAGCUACAUGCAGAAAUAGUCUUUCCUCUGUCUCGUAAGCUAAAGCUUUUUCGGUGUCUUGUUUACAAUACACACGUACACUUUGGAACAAGUAAAAAAUGGAAGUUUCGUGCCUUCAUUUUCUUGCAACCAAAUAUCUAUAUGUGGAAAAAAAUGCAAAACCAAAUUGAUCAUUGUAACAAAAACAAUUACAGGCACAACCCCAAAGGCGCAUAUUAAAGCAUCUGCAUUACAACCUCUUUAAAUUAAUAACUAAAAGUUCUCCCCAGCACUCCUUGCAAUGCGACAUGUAGUUCAUAAACAGAUUAUCGAUACUGACAGUUGAAAUGUAGUUACCUAAGCAAAAAAUCAAUAAAGGAAAUUCCUUGAAAUAUCAGUUAUAUUGUGUAAUGGUGGAAGGGUGCAAAAAAAAAAAAAAGAGUAAGAAAUAAA